AUUGAACGCUGGCGGCAGGCCUAACACAUGCAAGUCGAGCGAGCGGCGGACGGGUGAGUAAUGUAUGGGGACGGCCCGAUAGAGGGGGAUAACUACUGGAAACGGUGGCUAAAACCGCAUACUAUCGGAUAACCCAUAUGUGAUUAGCUAGUAGGUGGGGGAAAGGCUCACCGAGGCGACGAUCUCUAGAUGGUCGGCGGGGAUGAUCAGCUGCACGGGGACUGAGACACGGACCAGACGCCCACGGCGGCAGCAGUGGGGAAGAUUGCACAAUGGGCGCAAGCCUGAUGCAGCCAUGCCGCGUGUCUGAAUAAGGCCUUAGGGCUGUAAAGUACUUUCAGCCGUGAGGCGUUACCCGCAGAAGAAGCACCGGCUAACUCCGUGCCAGCAGCCGCGGUAAUUC
rnacentral:rRNA from 1 species